GAUGAAGAACGCAGCAAAAUGCGAUAAGUAAUGUGAAUUGCAGAAUUCAGUGAAUCAUCGAAUCUUUGAACGCACAUUGCGCCCUUUGGUAUUCCGAAGGGCAUGCCUGUUCGAGCGUCAUUUCACCACUCAAGCCUGGCUUGGUAUUGGGCGCCGCGGUCGAUCCGCGCGCCUCAAAGUCUCCGGCUGAGCUGUCCGUCUCUAAGCGUUGUGAUUUCAUUAAUCGCUUCGGAGUGCGGGCGGCCGCGGCCGUUAAAUCUUUCACAAGGUUGACCUCGGAUCAGGUAGGGAUACCCGCUGAACUUAAGCAUAUCAAUAAGCGGAGGA
rnacentral:misc_RNA from 1 species